rnacentral:rRNA from 1 species
GACAGAUCAUAAUCAAACUCUGAAUCCCAUUAGAUGUACCCCAGGAGUCAGACUACGGGAGAUAAGUUCCGUGGUCAAGAGGGCAACAGCCCAGACCGCCGAUUAAGGUCCCUAAAUUCACGCUAAGUGUCAAAGGAUGUAGAGAUACUCAAACAGCUAGGAUGUUGGCUCAGAGGCAGCCAUCAUUUAAAGAAUGCGUAACAGCUCACUAGUCAAGUGUCUCCGCGCCGAAAAUUUACCGGGGCUAAGCGUGAUACCGAAAUCGCGGAUGAAUCCUAAAAAUUCGUGGUAGGGGAGCGUUCUGUUUGCAGUGAAGCCAUAUCGUGAGGAGUGGUGGAGCGUACAGAAGCGAGAAUGCCGGCGUAAGUAACGAUAAAGGGUGAGAAUCCCUUUCACCAAUUGACUAAGGUUUCCUGGGCAAGGUUCGUCCUCCCAGGGUUAGUCGGGACCUAAGGCGAGGCCGACAGGCGUAGUCGAUGGACAGCAGGUUGAUAUUCCUGCACCCGAGCACGCAGUGAUGCAAUGACGAAAACGGCUAUGCUCACCUCCGAUCGGAAGUGGAGGGCAGAGCGUAGGAGUCGAUUCCUUGUUAAGUACGGGAAUCAUUAAGACAAAGACGUGCGGUAUGAAAGUCGCGAGACGAGUAAGAAACAGCAGACGCCGAUUUCCAAGAAAAGUUGCUAACGUUAAACGUGUUCGGCCCGUACCGAGAACGGACACACGUGGUCAAGGAGAAUAUCCUGAGGUGAGCGAGAUAACUGUUGUUAAGGAACUCUGCAAAAUAACUUCGUAAGUUAGCAAGAAGAAGUGCUCCAGCGAUGGAGCCGCAGCGAAUCGGCCCAAGUAACUGUUUACCAAAAACACAGCUCUAUGCUAAGUCGCAAGACGAUGUAUAUGGGGUGACGCCUGCCCGGUGCCGGAAGGUUAAAAGGAGAGGUUAGGAGCAAUCCGAAGCUUUGAAUUGAAGCCCCGGUGAACGGCGGCCGUAACUAUAACGGUCCUAAGGUAGCGAAAUUCCUUGUCAGGUAAGUUCUGACGUGCACGAAUGGUGUAAUAAUUUGGGCGCUGUCUCGACAGCAGACUCGGUGAAAUCUUAAUACCGGUGAAGAUGCCGGUUACCCGCGACUAGACGGAAAGACCCCAUGGAGCUUUACUAUAACUUAAUAUUGAGUAAAUGCGAAUCUUGUACAGUAUAGGUGGGAGACUUUGAAGUCGGGGCGUCAGCUUCGAUGGAGUCGCCGUUGGGAUACCACUCUGGAUUUGCAUUUAUUCUAACUCCUACCCUGGAUGGGCGGGAGGACAGUGUUAGGCGGGUAGUUUGGCUGGGGCGGCCGCCUCCCAAAUAGUAACGGAGGCGCCCUAAGGUACCCUCAGUAUGGU